rnacentral:lncRNA from 1 species
UAACCAGCUCCUUUGAAGCAUUCUGUUGCACCUUUGGAGUUUGACUCCUUCAACAAAGAACCAAGUAUCCGGCCAGAUCAUAGUGAUUUCUGCGCUCUACUAUUGUUACCAGCAGAAAUUAUUGCUACUAAUCACCUUGCACUUUCACAAUUGAAUUUUGUUCAGACCUUGAAUGCAAUGCUUCUAAUGAUACUUGAGAAUGAAACUAUGCCCCAGUCUUGCUGGCCUUUUCUGUGGUUAGUGUUGUAGUCUUUAUAAGAAGGAGAAGACAGUCUACUUGUGAAAAUCAGUGCUGUGGAAUUGAAUGAACUGAAUGAAUGACUACUGGUCCUCCUGCCUGAGGAGAGUGAAUCUAGCUCAAGUUCUUCCACGCAGGCCACAUCUCCUGGGAAGAAACAACAUGAAUUUCUCUGUGAUGUGGUGGAUGUCUGGUGUCCAUAAUAGUCAUCUCUGCAUUGAAGAGAGUAAUUCAGUGUGAAAAGCCCUGCUUAACUGCCUGCCCGCAAGAAGGGCUCCAAGAAGGUGGUCACCAACACCCAGAAGAAGGGUGACAAGAAGCACAGGAAGAGCUGCAAGGAGAGCUACUCGAUCCACGUUGUCUUCUAGUACAAAGCUGGAAGUUGUAGCUUUUUAAGAUAUAGUUUAUGUUGCAUUACCUAAUAAGCCUUCCCUACCAGUCUCUGACACAAGCACGAUUCCACAAAAUCUCUUGCAUUAACAACUUUAUUCCUUGAUGAGCAUUUGCUCCUUCUCUUUCUUGGCUAUGAGCAGUGGAGGCUGCUGUGCCUCAGCAAUUCUUGACACAUGAGAAAGAAAAGAGACAACAGGAAUUUAUGGUAGAUUCCUCACAGUCUAUUGUCUUCUGGUAUAACUUCAUGUCCAAAAGAGAAGUACAAGUUACAGACUUUGAAAAUCCUGGGGCAAUAGACUGAAUUAUACCUGCCUAUCUACUUAAUUUCCUUGUCUUUACUAACUCUUUUGUUAGCAUCUCUCACUGCAGUAUAUAUUGU